AAGUCGUUAAAAGAAAGGGAAAAACCGUCGCCUCCCCUUCUUCUUGUUCAUUUCUUCUUCUUCUUCUCAUAUUCUCCCUUUUCUUCUUCAUUUGAAACGAUUAGUCGUCGAUUCAAAACAAUUUCGUCGUCGAUUAAAUUCAUUGUAUAAAACCAUGAAGCCAAAGGAAAAGCUAGGUCAAUCUUCGUCGAAUCCACCUCCUCUUGAAGCAGAGAAAUCAACUUCAUCAAUUGAAGAUGAAACUGAAGAUCAAGAAGAAGUGGAUGAAGGAGAUGAACUAGCCGCCGAGACUCAUGUUAUGACUUCAAUAAGAGGAAAAGAAAAGAAGAAGAAAAUAUCACAAUAAGUAAGACCUUGUAGUGACCCGACUCCGCAACCUCGUCACACAAAACAUUGGGUGAAAACGCAAGAAAUGCAAGUGGAGUUGUGACUGGUAGAGGAAGUGAAGGUGGAGGAAAUGGAGUUGGAGAUGGAGCUUCUUUAGGUAGUGAAGUUGUAGUUUACACAGGUGGAGGAAGUGAAGUUGGAUUUGGUGGAGGAAGUUGUAGUUUACACAGGUGUACUUGUUGUUAAUGGAGGAACUGAAGUUGGAGUUGGUGGAGGAAGUGAAGGUGUACUUGCUGUUACUGGAGGAAUUGAAGUUGGAGUUGGCACUUCUACUGGUGCUGCUAUUGAUAAAGGUAAAUAUGUAGUUAAGGAGGAUAAGAGGGAAAAGAACAAGUAUGCACCAAAAGAAACGGAAAGAAAAAUCAUUGAUUCUAUGGUGUUUUUACCUCCCAAGAAGAAUGGGAGACCUUGGGGUGAGCCAAAAGAUAGAUCCGUCUUGUUUGGUUACCAGUCAUCAUGGGCUGCUAGGGUCUGUUCCGCAAAGUUUCCCGAUAAAACGGUCCCUAAAUUAAAGCACCAACAAGGAAGGUUUUGGGAGUUCGAGAAAGAGCAUCCAGAUGUGGUAGCUUUGGUAAAAGCUUCGGGGUUAUGGUCUGGAAUCGAGGCUUUGCAGAACACCUAUGAUGUUAUGACAAUUUGUGGUUUUAGAGAAAGAUUCUUUCCCGAAACCAUGAUUUUUCUUCUUUGCAAUAUUAAAUAUAUUAGCAGUCAUGCGAGAUAGUACCAUAUAAAUGGAAUGGUAAUGCUUUGAGUAAAUAGAAUGGUCCAGUCUUCACAUACCUCUUUGUCGAUGAAGUUUUCUAAAUGUCUUUGUUUGAUAUUCAAUCUUCAAGGAUAAUUUU